rnacentral:rRNA from 1 species
UACGUAGGGUGCGAGCGUUAAUCGGAAUUACUGGGCGUAAAGCGUGCGCAGGCGAUUUUGUAAGCCAGAUGUGAAAGCCCCGGGCUCAACCUGGGAAUGGCAUUUGGGACUGCAAGGCUUGAGUGCGGCAGAGGAGACUGGAAUUCCUGGUGUAGCAGUGAAAUGCGUAGAUAUCAGGAGGAAUACCGAUGGCGAAGGCAGGUCUCUGGGCUGACACUGACGCUCAUGCACGAAAGCGUGGGGAGCAAACAGG